UGCCAGCCGCCGCGGUAAUACGUAUGGUGCAAACGUUGUUCGGAAUCACUGGGCAUAAAGAGCACGUAGGUGGUUUGGUAAGUCUGAUGUGAAAUCCCACGGCUCAACCGUGGAACUGCAUCGGAUACUGCCGAACUCGAGUACGGUAGGGGAGAGUGGAAUUCCUGGUGGAGCGGUGAAAUGCGUAGAUAUCAGGAGGAACGCCGGCGGCGAAAGCGACUCUCUGGACCGAUACUGACACUGAGGUGCGAAAGCCAGGGGAGCGAACGGGAUUAGAUA
rnacentral:rRNA from 1 species